rnacentral:rRNA from 1 species
UACGGGGGGAGCAAGCGUUGUUCGGAUUUACUGGGCGUAAAGGGCGCGUAGGCGGCCAGCACAAGUCAGUUGUGAAAUCUCCGGGCUUAACUCGGAAAGGUCAACUGAUACUGUGCGGCUAGAGUGCAGAAGGGGCAACUGGAAUUCUCGGUGUAGCGGUGAAAUGCGUAGAUAUCGAGAGGAACACCUGCGGCGAAGGCGGGUUGCUGGGCCGAUACUGACGCUGAGGAGCGAAAGCGUGGGGAGCGAACAGG